rnacentral:lncRNA from 10 species
GCAAAAUACAUGAUCGGGAAGCAGUCUGAAUUUAAUCAAGGGGAUGUACCAUUCCAUUGUUUAUGAUUAUGAUCUCAUGGAUUAGGUUGGGGGUUAGCAAACUGCCUGCAGGCUGAAUCUAGCCUGAUGCUUGUUCAUUUAUAUAUUGUCUGUGGCUGCUUUCACACAAUGGCAGAGUUGAAUAGUUGAGGCAGAGACCAUGUGGCCUGCAAAGUCUGAAAUAUAUCUGGCCCUUCUUUUACAGAAAAAGUUCGUCAGUC